rfam:Stegodyphus mimosarum contig99291, whole genome shotgun sequence.
GCCUUCGUAGUGUAACGGUAGUACACACGACGCAUAUUCGAGAGACCCAGGUUCGAGUCCCGGCGAGGGCA